rnacentral:rRNA from 1 species
UUGGUUAAGUUAGAAAGGGCGCACGGUGGAUGCCUUGGCACUAGGAGCCGAAGAAGGACGGGACUAACACCGAUAUGCUUUGGGGAGCUGUACGUAAGCGUUGAUCCAGAGAUUUCCGAAUGGGGGAACCCACUAUCUUUAGUCGGAUAGUAUCCUUACGUGAAUACAUAGCGUGAGGAAGGCAGACCCAGGGAACUGAAACAUCUAAGUACCUGGAGGAAGAGAAAGAAAAAUCGAUUUCCUGAGUAGCGGCGAGCGAAACGGAAAGAGCCCAAACCAAGAAGCUUGCUUCUUGGGGUUGUAGGACACUCUAUACGGAGUUACAAAAGAAAGUUAUAAAUGAAGCGGUCUGGAAAGGCCCGCCAAAGACGGUAACAGCCCGGUAGUUGAAAUGGCUUUCCCUCCAGAGUGGAUCCUGAGUACGGCGGAACACGUGAAAUUCCGUCGGAAUCCGGGAGGACCAUCUCCCAAGGCUAAAUACUCCCUAGUGACCGAUAGUGAACCAGUACCGUGAGGGAAAGGUGAAAAGCACCCCGGAAGGGGAGUGAAACAGUUCCUGAAACCGUGUGCCUACAAGUAGUUAGAGCCCGUUAAUGGGUGAUAGCGUGCCUUUUGUAGAAUGAACCGGCGAGUUACGAUUUGUUGCAAGGUUAAGCGGAAAAAGCGGAGCCGUAGCGAAAGCGAGUCUGAAUAGGGCGCAUAAGUAACAGGUCGUAGACCCGAAACCAGGUGAUCUACCCAUGUCCAGGAUGAAGGUAAGGUAAUACUUACUGGAGGUCCGAACCCACGCACGUUGAAAAGUGCGGGGAUGAGGUGUGGGUAGCGGAGAAAUUCCAAUCGAACUUGGAGAUAGCUGGUUCUCUCCGAAAUAGCUUUAGGGCUAGCCUCGAGGUAAAGAGUCAUGGAGGUAGAGCACUGUUUGGACUAGGGGCCCUUCUCGGGUUACCGAAUUCAGAUAAACUCCGAAUGCCAUGUACUUAUACUCGGGAGUCAGACUGCGAGUGAUAAGAUCCGUAGUCGAAAGGGAAACAGCCCAGACCACCAGUUAAGGUCCCCAAAUAUAUGUUAAGUGGAAAAGGAUGUGGGGUUGCUUAGACAACCAGGAUGUUGGCUUAGAAGCAGCCACCAUUGAAAGAGUGCGUAAUAGCUCACUGGUCGAGUGACCCCGCGCCGAAAAUGUACCGGGGCUAAACAUAUUACCGAAACUGUGGAUGAACCUCUUUAGAGGUUCGUGGUAGGAGAGCGUUCUAAGGGCGGUGAAGUCAGACCGGAAGGACUGGUGGAGCGCUUAGAAGUGAGAAUGCCGGUAUGAGUAGCGAAAGAAGGGUGAGAAUCCCUUCCACCGAAUAUCUAAGGUUUCCUGAGGAAGGCUCGUCCGCUCAGGGUUAGUCGGGACCUAAGCCGAGGCCGAUAGGCGUAGGCGAUGGACAACAGGUAGAGAUUCCUGUACCAGUGCUAAUUGUUUAACCGAUGGGGUGACACAGAAGGAUAGGGAAUCGCACGAAUGGAAAUGUGCGUCCAAGCAGUGAGUGUGAGAAGUAGGCAAAUCCGCUUCUCGCGAAGCAUGAGCUGUGAUGGGGAAGGAAAUUAAGUACGGAAGUUCCUGAUUUCACGCUGUCAAGAAAAGCCUCUAGGAAGAGUAGUACUGCCCGUACCGCAAACCGACACAGGUAGAUGAGGAGAGAAUCCUAAGGUGAGCGAGAGAACUCUCGUUAAGGAACUCGGCAAAAUGACCCCGUAACUUCGGGAGAAGGGGUGCUCUAUUAGGGUGCAAGCCCGAGAGAGCCGCAGUGAAUAGGCCCAGGCGACUGUUUAGCAAAAACACAGGUCUCUGCAAAACCGUAAGGUGACGUAUAGGGGCUGACGCCUGCCCGGUGCUGGAAGGUUAAGAGGAGUGCUUAGCUUCGGCGAAGGUACGAAUUGAAGCCCCAGUAAACGGCGGCCGUAACUAUAACGGUCCUAAGGUAGCGAAAUUCCUUGUCGGGUAAGUUCCGACCCGCACGAAAGGCGCAACGAUCUGGGCACUGUCUCAACGAGAGACUCGGUGAAAUUAUAGUACCUGUGAAGAUGCAGGUUACCCGCGACAGGACGGAAAGACCCCGUGGAGCUUUACUGCAACCUGAUAUGGAAUGUUUGUACCGCUUGUACAGGAUAGGUAGGAGCCGAAGAGACGUGUGCGCUAGCAUACGAGGAGGCAAUGGUGGGAUACUACCCUGGCUGUAUGACCAUUCUAACCCGCCACGCUUAGCGCGUGGGGAGACAGUGUCAGGUGGGCAGUUUGACUGGGGCGGUCGCCUCCUAAAGAGUAACGGAGGCGCCCAAAGGUUCCCUCAGAAUGGAUGGAAAUCAUUCGCAGAGUGUAAAGGCACAAGGGAGCUUGACUGCGAGACUGACAAGUCGAGCAGGGACGAAAGUCGGGCUUAGUGAUCCGGUGGNGGAGGCGCCCAAAGGUUCCCUCAGAAUGGAUGGAAAUCAUUCGCAGAGUGUAAAGGCACAAGGGAGCUUGACUGCGAGACUGACAAGUCGAGCAGGGACGAAAGUCGGGCUUAGUGAUCCGGUGGUUCCGCAUGGAAGGGCCAUCGCUCAACGGAUAAAAGCUACCCCGGGGAUAACAGGCUUAUCUCCCCCAAGAGUCCACAUCGACGGGGAGGUUUGGCACCUCGAUGUCGGCUCGUCGCAUCCUGGGGCUGUAGUCGGUCCCAAGGGUUGGGCUGUUCGCCCAUUAAAGCGGCACGCGAGCUGGGUUCAGAACGUCGUGAGACAGUUCGGUCCCUAUCCGUCGCGGGCGCAGGAAAUUUGAGAGGAGCUGUCCUUAGUACGAGAGGACCGGGAUGGACACACCGCUGGUGUACCAGUUGUUCCGCCAGGAGCAUCGCUGGGUAGCUAUGUGUGGCAGGGAUAAACGCUGAAAGCAUCUAAGCGUGAAGCCCCCCUCAAGAUGAGAUUUCCCAUUUCUUCGGAAAGUAAGAUCCCUGAAAGAUGAUCAGGUAGAUAGGUUUGGAGUGGAAGUGUAGCGAUACAUGGAGCGGACAAAUACUAAUCGAUCGAGGACUUAACCAAAA